GAGCACGUAGGUGGGUUUGUAAGUCAGAUGUGAAAGCCUUCUGUUCAACGGAAGAAUUGCAUCUGAAACUACAAACCUUGAGUAUAGGAGGGGAGAGUGGAACUUCUGGUGGAGCGGUGAAAUGCGUAGAUAUCAGAAGGAACGCCGGCGGCGAAAGCGACUCUCUGGCCUAUAACUGACACUGAGUGUGCGAAAGCUAGGGGAGCAAACGGGAUUAGAUACCCCGGUAGUCCUAGCCGUAAACGAUGGGCACUAAGUAGAGGGG
rnacentral:rRNA from 1 species